rnacentral:rRNA from 1 species
GGGCCCGCACAAGCGGUGGAGCAUGUGGUUUAAUUCGAUGAUACGCGAGGAACCUUACCAGGGUUUAAAUGCAGAACGACAGGGUGAACACCCCUUCUCGACGACUGCAAGGUCGCUGCAUGGUUGUCGUCAGCUCGUGCUGUGAAGUGUCGGGUUAAGUCCCAUAACGAGCGCAACCCCCAUUUCUAGUUGCCAGCGGUUCGGCCGGGGACUCUAGAGAAAACUGCCAGCGUAAGCUGUGAGGAAGGUGGGGAUGACGUCAAAUCAUCACGGCCCUUACAUCCUGGGCCACACACGUGCUACAAUGGUAGGACAACAGGUUGCCAACCCGCGAGGUGAG